rnacentral:rRNA from 1 species
UACGUAGGGGGCAAGCGUUAUCCGGAUUUACUGGGUGUAAAGGGGGCGCAGACGGCGAUGCAAGCCAGGAGUGAAAGCCCGGGGCCCAACCCUGGGGCUGCUCUGGAAACUGCCGGGCUGGAGUGCUGGAGGGGCAGGCGGAAUUCCUAGUGUAGCGGUGAAAUGCGUAGAUAUUAGGAGGAACACCGGUGGCGAAGGCGGCCUGCUGGACAGCGACUGACGUUGAGGCCCGAAAGCGUGGGGAGCAAACAGG